UCCUGCCGGAGUACCGGGUACGGUCCGCGAAAAGUGACCCUGAGACUGCAUGCAUGCAUGCCUCCGGGGUGGAUGGCAUUCUGCCAACAGGGUCCCUCCGAUAGCGCCCGGCAGCCCAAGCACCCUUCCUACCCUCCCUGCCUCCCUGAAGUCCAGCAUUAAUCCCCUACCCGGCGACACCCGGCAGCCCCUUCACCCCUGUGUACCUCGCAGGAUGCAGAGAUUGUGCGUACCCGGGAUCCCGAAAAACUCGCUUCCUGUGACAUCGUGGUGGACGUGGGGGGCGAGUACGACCCUCGGAGACACCGAUAUGACCAUCACCAGAGGUCUUUCACAGAGACCAUGAGCUCCCUGUCCCCUGGGAAGCCGUGGCAGACCAAGCUGAGCAGUGCGGGACUCAUCUAUCUGCACUUCGGGCAUAAGCUGCUGGCCCAGUUGCUGGGCACUAGUGAAGAGGACAGCAUGGUGGGCACCCUCUAUGACAAGGUGGGGACCUGAGGACAGAGAUGCCCCCCACAUGCAUUUCCAGCAGGCUGCCUGGGAACAGUGCUCACACAGCACUCAGCACUGGGCCUCGGGUCAGGGUUCC
rnacentral:sRNA from 1 species